rnacentral:rRNA from 1 species
AACAAGGUCUCCGUUGGUGAACCAGCGGAGGGAUCAUUAUCGAGUUAUUCAACUCCCAAACCCUAUGUGAACUUACCACUUGUUGCUUCGGCGCGCGCUUCGGCGCCGCCGAGGACACUUAAACUCUUUGUUUUAUAAGCAUUUCUGAGUGGCCGAAAGGCAAAAAUACAAAUGAAUCAAAACUUUCAACAACGGAUCUCUUGGUUCUGGCAUCGAUGAAGAACGCAGCGAAAUGCGAUAAGUAAUGUGAAUUGCAGAAUUCAGUGAAUCAUCGAAUCUUUGAACGCACAUUGCGCCCGCCAGCAUUCUGGCGGGCAUGCCUGUUCGAGCGUCAUUUCAACCCUCGAGCCCGACUCUUUUGAGGACGGCUCGGCGUUGGGGGACGGCAGACUCCCCCCGGCAUCUCGCCGGGGACGCCGCCCCCGAAAUCUAGUGGCGGCCCUCCGAGGCGACCUCUGCGUAGUAACUUGUUCUCGCACCGGAAAGCUCAGAGCGGCCACGCCGUAAAACCCCAACUUUUUUCAGGUUGACCUCGAAUCAGGUAGGACUACCCGCUGAACUUAAGCAUAUCAAUAAGCGGAGGAAA